GCCCAUCGUAUUGCUUCUUGUUGCGGUGGUGGUGGCAUUCGUGAGUGUAAACCUGAUCUUCUUUCCCCGGUCGUAUGGGCUAUCAUCGCUUCCAUUUUCAGGUACAUAGCUGCCAAACUUGCUUGGUUUAAGUACGUUUUAGUAUGCCCAGCGCGAACAUAUUCCGGAGCAAACCUGGCAACCUACGGUGUUCGAGGUAUUGGCAAUUUGUAUCCUGAAAUCUGAGCUCGUCGUUGUCCAGAUCCUUCUAAACAUCAUGUAUUGGUGAUGGGGAGCGGAGGGCUGGUUGGUGCUGCUCUUACCACCACGCUCAAAUCACAAGGUUACUCUGUAAUUCAAAUCGAGGGCAGGUAACGCACACGUCACAUCCUCAUGUUGUUGUUGUUGUUGUUGUUGUUUUGUAACCGUUCCCAUUUAGACAGC
rnacentral:misc_RNA from 1 species